CAGCAGCCGCGGGAAUACGAAGGGUGCAAGCGUUAAUCGGAAUUACUGGGCGUAAAGCGUGCGUAGGCGGUGAGUUAAGUCUGCUGUGAAAUCCCCGGGCUCAACCUGGGAAUGGCAGUGGAUACUGGCAAGCUAGAGUGUGUCAGAGGAUGGUGGAAUUCCCGGUGUAGCGGUGAAAUGCGUAGAGAUCGGGAGGAACAUCAGUGGCGAAGGCGGCCAUCUGGGGCAACACUGGCGCUGAGGCACGAAAGCGUGGGGAGCAAACAGGAUUAGAUACCCCCGUAGUCCCUGUCUCUUAUAC
rnacentral:rRNA from 1 species